UUGUGACCGUUCAACUGGGCAUUGGUCACCUCAGUCGUCAAUGCUCGCUGAUCGUUCAUAAUG
rnacentral:pre_miRNA from 1 species